UACGAAGGGGGCUAGCGUUGCUCGGAAUCACUGGGCGUAAAGGGUGCGUAGGCGGGUCUUUUAAGUCAGGGGUGAAAUCCUGGAGCUCAACUCCAGAACUGCCUUUGAUACUGAAGAUCUUGAGUUCGGGAGAGGUGAGUGGAACUGCGAGUGUAGAGGUGAAAAUUCGUAGAUAUUCGCAAGAACACCAGUGGCGAAGGCGGCUCACUGGCCCGA
rnacentral:rRNA from 1 species